rnacentral:rRNA from 1 species
AGUGAACGCUGGCGGUAGGCCUAACACAUGCAAGUCGAACGGCAGCACAGUAAGAGCUUGCUCUUACGGGUGGCGAGUGGCGGACGGGUGAGGAAUACAUCGGAAUCUACUUUUUCGUGGGGGAUAACGUAGGGAAACUUACGCUAAUACCGCAUACGACCUACGGGUGAAAGCAGGGGAUCUUCGGACCUUGCGCGAUUGAAUGAGCCGAUGUCGGAUUAGCUAGUUGGCGGGGUAAAGGCCCACCAAGGCGACGAUCCGUAGCUGGUCUGAGAGGAUGAUCAGCCACACUGGAACUGAGACACGGUCCAGACCCCUACGGGAGGCAGCAGUGGGGAAUAUUGGACAAUGGGCGCAAGCCUGAUCCAGCCAUACCGCGUGGGUGAAGAAGGCCUUCGGGUUGUAAAGCCCUUUUGUUGGGAAAGAAAAGCAGCAGGUUAAUACCCCGCUGUCCUGACGGUACCCAAAGAAUAAGCACCGGCUAACUUCGUG